GCCAUAGGCCCGCGUCGGAGCCCUGGGCGACGUGUGGCGCGUGGACUUCAUCAAGUCCAACCCUGCGGGAACCCGGUAGGCGCUCCCAGGCAAGGUUCUGUGCACCUGUCUCUUCCUUCUGCUCAAGUAUCUUCCCCUUCUGGGCAAAAGGGGACACGUCCCUCCCCAGAAAACACGAAGCGCGGCGGCGAGCGAGCCUAGCCUAAGAACUGUGCGAAAGAUUAAGCCAAAGCAAGAAGGUGCUUGGCACCUUUAAGCUGUUUGGAAGUUCACGUGACCCACCAAGUGCCGGGCCCCAGAGGUCACGUGACGACGCGCGCGCCCUCGCGCAGGGAGAGCCGGCUGGCCCCGUGCGCGCGCCUUCGCCGCUGCCUCCCAGCCCUCGACGGGAGGGUGAGGAGUGGCGGAGUGAUCGGGCGACUGUGGCCGGGUGCGCGUGCGCAGCGAACAGCUGUCACCCAGUGCGGAACAAGUCUUCCAAAUUUCCCAAAUCUCCCUGGGCCGGAGGCCACCGUUCUUCUUCUCAUCUUCCUCCUCGGGGUCGUGUCCUCGCCCCCUCCUGCGCGCCAGAGACUGCUCCAGCCAUCAUGGAGGUGGCCGAGGUGGAGAGUCCACUCAACCCCAGCUGUAAGAUCAUGACCUUCAGACCCACCAUGGAGGAAUUCCGGGAGUUCAACAGAUACCUCGCAUACAUGGAAUCUAAAGGAGCCCAUCGAGCGGGUCUUGCAAAGGUGAUUCCCCCUAAGGAGUGGAAGCCAAGGCAGUGCUAUGAUGACAUUGACAACUUGCUUAUUCCAGCUCCGAUUCAGCAGAUGGUCACAGGGCAGUCUGGACUGUUCACUCAAUACAACAUCCAGAAAAAAGCCAUGACAGUGAAGGAGUUCAGGCAGCUGGCCAACAGUGGCAAGUACUGUGCCCCGAGAUACUUGGACUAUGAAGAUUUGGAGCGCAAGUACUGGAAGAACUUAACCUUCGUGGCACCGAUUUAUGGUGCAGACAUUAAUGGGAGCAUAUAUGAUGAGGGUGUGGAUGAGUGGAACAUCGCUCGCCUGGACACGGUCUUGGAUGUGGUUGAGGAAGAGUGUGGCAUUUCUAUCGAGGGUGUAAACACCCCGUAUCUGUAUUUCGGCAUGUGGAAAACCACGUUUGCAUGGCACACCGAGGACAUGGACCUCUACAGCAUUAAUUAUCUCCACUUUGGAGAGCCCAAGUCUUGGUAUGCAAUACCCCCGGAACAUGGAAAACGACUGGAAAGACUAGCUCAAGGUUUUUUUCCAAGCAGUUCUCAAGGGUGUGAUGCAUUUCUUCGCCACAAGAUGACACUGAUAUCUCCCUCAGUAUUAAAGAAAUACGGCAUUCCCUUUGACAAGAUCACCCAGGAAGCUGGAGAAUUUAUGAUCACUUUCCCAUAUGGCUACCAUGCUGGUUUUAAUCAUGGUUUCAACUGUGCAGAAUCUACAAAUUUUGCUACUGUCAGAUGGAUUGACUAUGGGAAAGUUGCUAAAUUGUGCACUUGCAGGAAAGACAUGGUGAAAAUUUCUAUGGAUAUCUUUGUGAGGAAAUUUCAACCAGACAGAUACCAGCUUUGGAAACAAGGAAAGGAUAUAUACACCAUUGAUCACACAAAGCCUACUCCAGAAUCCACCCCUGAAGUAAAAGCAUGGCUGCAGCGGAGGAGGAAAGUAAGAAAAGCAUCCAGGAGCUUCCAGUGUACUAGUUCUCACUCUAAGAGGCCUAAGAAUGAGGAGGAUGAGAAACUGUCAGCUACAGUUGGUGGGACAGAGGGACCCACUCCUGACCCAGAUCCAUAUGAUCUCAAGGAUGAUGGAAAGCCAGAAGAAGCAGUGAAACUAGCAAACACAGAAGCACCUUCAGAGAAAGAGACCUCUGUUAGCAGGAUGCAAUUGGAUCAUAAUUUGUCAGAUAAUAUCAGAUUCUCGGGAAACGUCUGCCUAAGUGCAUCUGUAGCAGAGAAAAUCACAGCUGAGGAUGGCCAGACUUGUGCUGCAGUUCCACCUUCAGAUCCCAGUGAGGCUGACGAGUCCAUAUCUAGUGGCCAAGUGACAUCCGAGGAAUCAGAGCCACGCAGGCUUCCGUGGCCAAAGUCGCCUGAGUCACACUCCUCUGUGGCAGAGAGCAGCAGUGCUUUGACUGAGGGAGAAGAGAGUGAUGUGGAGAGCCGUGGCAGCGGCCUUGAACCUGGGGAAGUCCCGGCGGUCUCCAGUGGCAAGAGAAAUGGCUUCAAAGUCCCCAGUAGAACAGAAGGUGAAACCAAGACUGCUAAAAGUUGGCGCCACCCACUUAGUAAGCCUCCAGCAAGAUCCCCAAUGACCCUGGUGAAGCAACAGGCAACAAGUGAUGAAGAGUUGCCUGAGGCUCCAUCAAUUGAGGAGGAAGUGGAAGAAACCGAGUCUUGGGCAAAGCCUCUGGUUCAUCUUUGGCAGACAAAGUCCCCAAACUUUGUGGCCGAGCAAGAGUAUAAUACAGCCAUGGGCAGAAUGGAGCCACACUGCGCCAUCUGUGCUCUGCUUAUGCCCUACUACAAGCCAGAUAGCAGCAAUGAAGAAAAUGAUUCUAGAUGGGAGACAAAAUUAGAUGAAGUGGUGACUUCAGGAGGAAAGACUAAGCCCCUCAUUCCAGAGAUGUGUUUUAUUUAUAGUGAAGAAAAUAUAGAAUAUUCUCCACCUAAUGCCCUCCUUGAAGAGGAUGGAACAAGCCUUCUGAUUUCCUGUGCAAAGUGCCGCGUACGGGUUCAUGCAAGUUGUUAUGGAAUCCCUUCUCAUGAGAUCUGUGAUGGAUGGCUAUGUGCCCGGUGCAAAAGAAAUGCAUGGACAGCAGAGUGCUGUCUCUGCAAUUUAAGAGGGGGUGCGCUUAAGGAAACUAAGAACAAUAAGUGGGCCCAUGUCAUGUGCGCCGUUGCAGUUCCAGAAGUCCGGUUUACUAAUGUCCCAGAAAGGACCCAGAUAGAUGUAGGCAGAAUACCUUUACAGAGGUUAAAAUUGAAAUGCAUGUUCUGCAGACACCGGGUUAAGAAGGUCUCUGGAGCCUGCAUCCAGUGUUCCUACGGGCGUUGCCCGGCCUCCUUCCACGUCACAUGUGCUCAUGCUGCUGGGGUGCUGAUGGAGCCUGAUGAUUGGCCAUAUGUGGUGAACAUCACGUGCUUCCGACAUAAGGUCAACCCAAAUGUGAAAUCCAAGGCUGGUGAGAAGGGCAUCUCUGUGGGGCAGACGGUCAUCACGAAGCAUCGGAACACUCGGUACUACAGCUGCAGGGUUAUCGCCGUGACGGCGCAGACCUUUUAUGAGGUUGUGUUUGAUGAUGGCUCCUUCAGCAGGGACACCUUCCCUGAGGAUAUUGUGAGCCGAGACUGUGUGAAACUGGGCCCUCCUGCCGAGGGAGAAGUCGUCCAAGUCAAGUGGCCUGAUGGCAAACUCUAUGGGGCCAAGUAUCUGGGAUCAAAUGUCGCCCACAUGUACCAGGUUGAAUUUGAAGAUGGAUCCCAGAUAGCAAUGAAGAGAGAGGACAUCUACACUUUGGACGAAGAGUUACCUAAGAGAGUGAAAGCUCGAUUCUCCACAGCUUCUGACAUGCGAUUUGAAGACACAUUUUAUGGAACAGAUAUAAUCCAAGGGGAGAAAAAGAGGCAGAGAGUGCUGAGCUCCAGAUUCAAGAAUGAAUAUGUGGAUGACCCGGUCUACCGCACAUUCUUGAAGAGCUCUUUCCAGAAGAAGUGUCAGAAGAGGCAAUAGUGUGCCUACAUUGCGCUGCAGGCCGCAGAAUGACUUGGGCAGAAGAGGACCGAGGAAGGACAGCCUGGGGCCGUGCCGUGUGUUUCCCUGGGCUCCUGGAGACCGAGAAGCAUAAGGAAAAUUUUCAUGAGAAAAUACUGAGUAUGAAGAAUUCUUCUGAACAUAUUAUUUAUUAUACUUGAUAUACUUGGCCAAAUGGAGAUGUGCCUCCUGUCGAUUCACCAGUAUUCUCACUGAAGCUAAAGAUCGGUUCAGAGAAAGUCCUCAAAAUGUUCCUCUUGGGCCUCUGACUGCCACAGUAGGAUGCUAGGAAGACUGGCUUGGCUCAGGGGAGGAGAUCACUGAGAUGUACACAAGAUGGACAACUUGCUAGAAAUUUAUAGCCCACCAAAACUGAAUCAAGAAUAAAUAGAUAACUUGAAUAGACCAAUCACUAAAAAUGAAAUAUAAUCUGUAAUAAUAAUGAAAAAAAAAGUGCCCUACAAACAAAAGUUCAGGUCUAGAUGGCUUCACUGGGGAAUUCUACCAAAUAUAGAAAGAACUUACAAUGAUCGUCCUGAAACGCUUCCAAAAGAUUUAAGAGGAAGGAACAAAUCCAGAGACAUUCUGUGAAGCCACAAUCACACCAAUACCAAAACCAAAGACACUAUUAAAAGAGAAAGUUACAGGUCAAUAUCUUUGAUGAAUAUAGAUGCAAAAAUUCUCAACAAAAUAUUAGCAAACUGAACCUAACAACACACAAAAAGAUCAGAUCAUACCCCAUGAUGAAAUGGGAUUCAUCCCAGGGUCACAAAGAUGGUUUACCAUAUUCCAUCAAUCAGUGGGAUACACCACAUCAACAAAAGAAAGGACAAAAACCAUAUGAUUAUCUAAAUAAAUGCAGAAAAAGCAUUUGAUAAAAUUUAACAUCCAGUCGUGAUAAAAAAUCCUUACGAAAGUAGGUAUAGAGGGAACAUACCUCAACAUAAGAAAAGCUAUUUAUGACAAACCAUAGAUAUUGUCAGCUAAUAUAAUACUCAACAGUAAAAAGCUGAAAGACUUCCUGCUAAAAUCUAGAACAAGACAAGGAUGCCCACUCUCACCACACCACUUCUCUUUAACAUAUUAUUAAAAGUCUUGGUUAAAGCAAUCAGAUUGAAACAAACAAACAAACAAACAAAAAAAUGGUAUUCAGAUUGAAAGGGAAGAGGUAAACAUGUCAUUCUAUGCAGAUGACAUGAUAACUAUGUAGAAAGUAAAGACUCCACAUGAAAACUAUUAGAACUGAUAAAUGAAUUCAGAAAUGUAGCAAGAUAUAAGCAUUGACAUACAGAAAUCUGUUAUGUCUCUUUACACUAACAAUGAAAGAUAAGAAAGGGCAUGUAAUCUAACAAUCCCUUUUAAAAUCAUUAUCAAAAAAUACUUAGAAAUAAACCAGACAAAGGAAGUGAAAGACUUAU